AGUACCAAAGAAGGGGUUGUUUUCACAGCCAACAAAAGCCACCCUUUAGCAGUAGUUCUGAGUGUAGUACAAAAUCUCAAGUUAUACAGAGGCUCAGACAAGUAAACAAAAAUCUUUUUUAAAAAAAUGCAGAACCCAGUAGCUAGCCAAAUCUCUCUGUAAUAUAGGACUUGGGGGCCUCUUGUAAUGCAAUGAUAAAUUCAAAAACCAUUAUUUACUUUUUACAUUUAUAUACUGUCCUUCCUCCAAGAACUUACAGGACAUACUUUGUUCUCUUUCCUUUAUUUUAUCUUCACAACAACCCUGUAAGUUAGUCUAGGCUUUACCCACACAAUUAAAUGAGGCCAGUCUUUAGGAGUAUCAUCCAGACCAACUCCUUGUCUGCAGUUGAUACUGUCAAUAGGCCUGUUUGGAUAAUACUCUGACUGGUUCCCUUUAACUGUGUGGGAGAGGAGUGUGGAUACACAUAUAUCCCCACCAGGGGGAUUUAUGGGGUGGGGUUUGAGGAGUUGGCAGCCUUAAUACCCAUUUGCCUCAGAAUAUUGAAUGUAAUGCAUCUUAUUUUUGAGUAAACAAGCCUAUAACUGCUCUGCGUAUCUGCAGACUCUGUGUUUCGUUGGACUAAAAGCUGAGCAGAAGACAUGAGCAAGAAACAUUUUCUGCCCUGUCUUCAAAACACUGGCAAUCAGGGACUUAAGCAGCAACACUAUUUCAUUUCCUUUUAAAUUAAAUCUUUGUUUGAAAUUCCAAGGUAAACUGUUGUUCAGCUAAAAGACUAUAAUUUAUCAUAGUGCUAAAAACUCCCUAAUCCUAUUGAGGUGAAUUUCUACUUGAUUGUGGAUAUCUUAACAUACAAAUAUAUAUAGAUAUCUGAUAUGGAACAUGAUCUCUGGGAUUUGUUUUUGAAGGCAAAUUGCCCAGUUAAAGGGUGCAAUUUGUAGACUUAAUUUUGUAUGUGCUCUUUUUUUCUUUUAAAUGUGAUUCGUGUUUCAAUGACAUGCAGUUUGUCUUCAGCCACAAGGAAGUAAUGCAAUGCUGACUUUUAUGUCCUUUACCUUACCCGGUGGAGCUGCUUUGUCACACCAGCCAUGUCGUGUACAUCAUUUGUGAUGUAGAAGAAGGAACUGAAGGCCUGAUUUCAGCUUUUACUACCAUGAAUAUCUUCUUCUGCAUGUAAUGACAGGAAAGCAGGAUUUAAAGAUACUGAAGGAACUUGCAGAUGUGAUCUCAGACUCAUUCUCUGUAAUCUACUUGGAGAAUCCCUGGAGAACAGGUUUUAUAACUUAAGGGCAUUUUAAUAAAGCAUCCUCAAAAGCCAAGAGCCUGUUGGCAAUAACUGAAAGAGACUGUACAACUUACCAGGUGAUCUGGGUCAGCACGGCAGGGAAGC